GAUGAACGCUAGCGGCAGGCUUAACACAUGCAAGUCGAGGGGUAUAGUUCUUCGGAAUUAGAGACCGGCGCACGGGUGCGUAACGCGUAUGCAAUCUACCUUUUGCAGAGGGAUAGCCCCAGAGAAAUUUUGGAUUAAUACCUCAUAGUAUGUGAGGAUGGCAUCAUUUUCACAUUAAAGUCACAACGGCAAAAGAUGAGCAUGCGUCCCAUUAGCUAGUUGGUAAGGUAACGGCUUACCAAGGCUACGAUGGGUAGGGGUCCUGAGAGGGAGAUCCCCCACACUGGUACUGAGACACGGACCAGACUCCUACGGGAGGCAGCAGUGAGGAAUAUUGGACAAUGGGCGCAAGCCUGAUCCAGCCAUGCCGCGUGCAGGAUGACGGUCCUAUGGAUUGUAAACUGCUUUUGUACAGGAAGAAACACUCCCUCGUGAGGGAGCUUGACGGUACUGUAAGAAUAAGGAUCGGCUAAC
rnacentral:rRNA from 1 species